rnacentral:rRNA from 1 species
CCCUUAGAUGUUCUGGGCUGCACGCGCGCUACACUGAUGCGCUCAACGAGUUUACGACCUUGCCCGGAAGGGUUGGGUAAUCUUUUUAAAACGCAUCGUGAUGGGGAUAGAUUAUUGCAAUUUUUAAUCUUUAACGAGGAAUUCCUAGUAAGCGCGAGUCAUCAGCUCGUGCUGAUUACGUCCCUGCCCUUUGUACACACCGCCCGUCGCUCCUACCGAUUGAAUGAUCCGGUGAAUAAUUCGGACUGCAGCAGUGUUCAGUUCCUGAACGUUGCAGCGGAAAGUUUAGUGAACCUUAUCACUUAGAGGAAGGAGAAGUCGUAACA